CCUACGGGGGGCAGCAGUAGGGAAUAUUGCUCAAUGGGGGAAACCCUGAAGCAGCAACGCCGCGUGGAGGAUGAAGGUUUUCGGAUUGUAAACUCCUUUUGUUAGAGAAGAUAAUGACGGUAUCUAACGAAUAAGCACCGGCUAACUCCGUGCCAGCAGCCGCGGUAAUACGGAGGGUGCAAGCGUUACUCGGAAUCACUGGGCGUAAAGAGCGCGUAGGCGGGAUAGCAAGUCAGAGGUGAAAUCCUAGGGCUUAACCAUAGAACUGCAUUUGAAACUGUUAUUCUAGAGUAUGGGAGAGGUAGGUGGAAUUCGUGGUGUAGGGGUGAAAUCCGUAGAGAUCAAGAGGAAUACUCAUGGCGAAGGCGACCUGCUAGAACAUAACUGACGCUGAGGCGCGAAAGCGUGGGGAGCAAACAGGAUUAGAUACCCCUGUAGUC
rnacentral:rRNA from 1 species